GCGGGGUUGGCGAGGUUGGCUCCGCUACCUUCGACAUCUCCACUGGCGGCCUGCGGCUGAUGUGAACGGCUCGUCUGGUCGGACCCUUGAGCUGUGGGACUAGGGGUCUCUAUUGUGCCAUCUGCCCGGGUGUGGGCCGCCAAGAACCCAGCACGAGACACCUCGGACAGGGUAGGCAUCCGCUGAGAGUCGCCCUCCGGAAGUCCGCCACUCUCCCCGCUACCCAAGCAAGCUCCUUCAACCUGACCAGGGGCGGUGCUUGUUGUAGGCGGAGCUUCCUUCGAUGGCUGGACGACCGGCAUCGACGCUUUCGCCUAGUCGAUGGCGCCCUUCUGCUGCAGCAUUUCCACAUUAGCUAAGGCACCGGCCUUCUCUGCUUCAGUCAACGCCUUCUUAUACUCUGCCGACUGCUUGUAUGACUCAACAGCGGCGGCUGCAGCAUGGCUCCCCUCAGCCUCCAGGCGAGCGACUUCACCCUCUAGCCGCUUAACCUCGGCCUGUUUGGCGGCGGACUCCCGCUGAAGGAUCUCAACCUUCUUAUCCUUAGCGGCCACCCGAUCCCGCAGCAGGGACAUGUCUUGCUCCAACUUGGCGAACUGUUCGUUCCGCUCCAAGUGCCGCUCAAUGGCAACGUUCAGCUUGCCACGGGCGUCUGCCGCAUUGCAGUUGCAGUCGGCCUUUGUCAAGCGUCGCUCGACAUUAGCCAACUUUUCCUGGGCCUUCCCCAAGUCCCUCUGUAGGCCAACCACCUCCUCCCUGAGCUCCCGCUCAACCAGGGGCUGUUUUGACACCGCCUGGAACAUCUCAUGUAGCCCAACGGCGACGUGCCCAAAGGCUGUGCUGAAGGGCGAUUUGCUGAAGGCGGUCGACCGAACAAUCCCCUCUAGGCCGCCGAACCCCAGCCGCUAGCAAAGGUGAUACAGGAACUCCCGUUCACCGUCAUUGAGGAACUCGGCGUAAGCGGCAAAUGAGUCCAAGCAGCUCGUACCCACCGCUUUCGCCACGUCAGCGGGAGCCUCGGGCGGAGCCUGCCUUGACUUCUUCGGCUGGUCGCGGGCCCCGGUUACCUCCACUUCUUCCUCUUCCCCGCCCGAGUCGGGUCGACGGCGUUUUCGCUGAAGGGUCCGCGUACUUCCAGCAGUGGCAGGCCUCGCACCCCCCGUCGGCGGCUCCAACCCCGCUAUGGUGACACCCUCCGUUGGGCGCACCGCUUUCUUCGGCACCCUGCGCCGUAUCGCCGGCGCUCUCUCUUUCCACGGCGCCGCCUCGCUCUCCACGCCGGUCCCCGCCUGAACAGCGGGCAACCCGUCACCACCAAGGUGGGAUUGGUGCGGCAUUGGCAACACCACCGGAACCUCGGACGGGCUCAGCCCUAGCGUCUCCGGGUUCACCACCGUCUUCUGAGCCGCCAGCCCAGACGCGUACAUGGAUUCCAGGAAGUUGUUGAUUUCAGCGCGGUCCAUGGCUUUCGCGAAGGCAUCAUGGCUCGCUUUGUUCCCCGGCGGAGUUUCAAAAAAAAAAAAAAAAAAAAGAGAAGUAACAAACCAAUCAGCAUGACAAUAUCACCAAGGGUGUAAUCUGGCGGAGGGUACUUACCAACGGCACGAGUCAGUUGAUGAUCCACCAGCAACUCCCGGCCUUUAAGGAGACGGAAGUCCAACAAGUUGCGAUUCCGCCAGCAACCCCUGAUGGGUGCCACGCGGUACUCUUCCUCACGAGUCAGGUUGUACCGCAACCCCGCUGCACAAAAAGGUCGUUAUCAGUACAGAAUACAAGGCUGUGAAAAAAUAAUAAUAAUAAAUAAACGGAAAUACCGCAAGUCAUGUUCAGCGGAAGUGGCAAACGACCUCGAAUGGGCUGAAACUCCGACUUAAUUCUAAACGUCGGCUCCCCCUCGUUUGACCCCUCUUGGUACUCCCACCCCGUCGUGGCAACGCGGAAGGUACCCCGCCAGUAGGACAUGGAAUCCCGCAAAUUCUCGAUCAGCUUAGGCGCUCCUUGGCAGCGACUCAGGUUUACCUGCCCCCUGCAACCUUGGCGUUUCACGUACACCAAUUCGUAGAAGUGCAGCACCUCCGCCACAGUCGGUCCCUCGCAACCGGACAAUCGCCACAGUGAGUUCAGCGCCAGCAUCAACCGCCACAUGUUGGGGCAGAUUUGCCCAAAAGCAACGCCAAACUCGCACACCAAGAUCUGAAGGUUUGGCACCAACGGGAAGGUCACUCCCUCGCGGAAUAUAGCCUCGUGCACGGCGGCGUGGCCCACUAGCAGGAUCGAGGCCUUCUCUUCCACCGUCGGCGGAGGCAGCUUCACUACACCGGGCAACCGGAAUACCCGCUUCAGCCGGUUGACGGCAACAACGGUCAUCCUGCCUCCCGCCUUGUCAACGGGGGUGCCGUCCUCAAACACCCACGCCGACUCGGUAUCCUCCCCCGCUACACCUCCCCCCCUCCAGUGGAGCCGCUGGCGGCACUAUUGCUUUCUAGGCGCUCUUCGUGCAUAGUAUGAGCAGCGGCAACCUCCCCCGCCCUAGAACUCUCCGGACGGGAUGCACGACCCAUAACUACGUCCCACGGUAUGGUCUGUAGCGGCUCGACCUCUAGCGGUUCUGGCAGUGAGGUUCCUGCACGGGCAGACGGACG
rnacentral:lncRNA from 1 species